rnacentral:rRNA from 1 species
AGUCGUAACAAGGUCUCCGUAGGUGAACCUGCGGAGGGAUCAUUACACAAAUAUGAAGGCGGGCUGGAACCUCUCGGGGUUACAGCCUUGCUGAAUUAUUCACCCUUGUCUUUUGCGUACUUCUUGUUUCCUUGGUGGGUUCGCCCACCACUAGGACAAACAUAAACCUUUUGUAAUUGCAAUCAGCGUCAGUAACAAAUUAAUAAUUACAACUUUCAACAACGGAUCUCUUGGUUCUGGCAUCGAUGAAGAACGCAGCGAAAUGCGAUAAGUAGUGUGAAUUGCAGAAUUCAGUGAAUCAUCGAAUCUUUGAACGCACAUUGCGCCCUUUGGUAUUCCAAAGGGCAUGCCUGUUCGAGCGUCAUUUGUACCCUCAAGCUUUGCUUGGUGUUGGGCGUCUUGUCUCUAGCUUUGCUGGAGACUCGCCUUAAAGUAAUUGGCAGCCGGCCUACUGGUUUCGGAGCGCAGCACAAGUCGCACUCUCUAUCAGCAAAGGUCUAGCAUCCAUUAAGCCUUUUUUCUCAACUUUUGACCUCGGAUCAGGUAGGGAUACCCGCUGAACUUAAGCAUAUCAAUAAGUCG